AUUGAACGCUGGCGGCAUGCCUUACACAUGCAAGUCGAACGGUAACAGGCCGCAAGGUGCUGACGAGUGGCGAACGGGUGAGUAACACAUCGGAACGUGCCUGAUAGUGGGGGAUAACUACUCGAAAGAGUAGCUAAUACCGCAUAAGAUCUCAGGAUGAAAGCAGGGGACCGCAAGGCCUUGCGCUAACAGAGCGGCCGAUGGCAGAUUAGGUAGUUGGUGGGAUAAAAGCUUACCAAGCCGACGAUCUGUAGCUGGUCUGAGAGGACGACCAGCCACACUGGGACUGAGACACGGCCCAGACUCCUACGGGAGGCAGCAGUGGGAAUUUUGGACAAUGGGCGCAAGCCUGAUCCAGCAAUGCCGCGUGCAGGAUGAAGGCCUUCGGUUGUAAACUGCUUUGUACGGAACGAAAAGACUCUGGUUAAUACCUGGGCCCAUGACGGUACCGUAAGAAUAAGCACCGGCUAACUACGUGCCAGCAGCCGCGGUAA
rnacentral:rRNA from 1 species